CCUACGGGUGGCAGCAGUGAGGAAUAUUGGUCAAUGGCCGGAAGGCUGAACCAGCCAAGUCGCGUGAGGGACGACUGCCCUAUGGGUUGUAAACCUCUUUUAUAAGGGAAGAAGAAAUGCGACGUGUAGCAUGAUGCCUGUACCUUAUGAAUAAGCAUCGGCGAACUCCGGGCCAGCAGCCGCGGUAAUACGGAGGAUGCGAGCGUUAUCCGGAUUUAUGGGGUUUACAGAGUGAGUAGGCGGUUUUUUAAGUUAGUGGUUAAACGUCGGGGCUUCACCGUGAUUUGCCAUUCAUACUGUCAGACUCGAGUUCAGACGAGGUAGGCGGAAUCAGU
rnacentral:rRNA from 1 species